rnacentral:sRNA from 1 species
CGUAUUCUCACACGAAUUUGUAAUCGUUCCAGCGGCACGCGCUGCCGCCUCCAUUUCCCACGCUACCGGCACCGCCCACCGCCGGACUUCCUCACCCGCGGCUCCGGCGGCGCCACCGCCCACCGCCGGACUUCCACCGCCCGCCCAAUGGUAUGAUGUGUAGAUGUAGUCCGGAUACGUGCAGCGGGAGCGCGGGCGGAGCUGGAGUAUGGCCAAUCUAGAGGGCAAAGGGAGGUAAAUUAAGGAUCUGGUAAUUGGAACGAUCCCCAUUCCUGCAGACUCAUAGUGUGAUUCAUUGAAUCAAGCUAACAAACUGACUGAAAAUUACCUCAUCAGUGCUGAGUCUAGAUCAUAACUAACUUUAUACAGAAAACAUUGAGUUGUACAACAUGUAUGAUGUAUCUGUAUCAACUUGUUCAAUCUCGGUUAACUGGAACCAAUUUAUGAAAAGGUGGUUAUCACUUCC